rnacentral:rRNA from 1 species
UACGGAGGGUGCAAGCGUUAUUCGGAAUUAUUGGGCGUAAAGCGCGUGCAGGCGGCUUGGCAAGUCAGAUGUGAAAGCCCUGAGCUUAACUCAGGAAGUGCAUUUGAAACUAUCAAGCUUGAGUAUGGGAGAGGAGAGUGGAAUUCCCAGUGUAGAGGUGAAAUUCGUAGAUAUUGGGAGGAACACCCGUGGCGAAGGCGACUCUCUGGACCAAUACUGACGCUGAGACGCGAAAGCGUGGGGAG